rnacentral:rRNA from 1 species
GAUGAACGCUGGCGGCGUGCCUAAUACAUGCAAGUCGAGCGAAUGGACGAGAAGCUUGCUUCUCUGAUGUUAGCAGCGGACGGGUGAGUAACACGUGGAUAACCUACCUAUAAGACUGGGAUAACUUCGGGAAACCGGAGCUAAUACCGGAUGAUAUUUUGAACCGCAUGGUUCAAAAGUGAAAGACGGUCUUGCUGUCACUUAUAGAUGGAUCCGCGCUGCAUUAGCUAGUUGGUAAGGUAACGGCUUACCAAGGCAACGAUGCAUAGCCGACCUGAGAGGGUGAUCGGCCACACUGGAACUGAGACACGGUCCAGACUCCUACGGGAGGCAGCAGUAGGGAAUCUUCCGCAAUGGGCGAAAGCCUGACGGAGCAACGCCGCGUGAGUGAUGAAGGUCUUCGGAUCGUAAAACUCUGGUAUUAGGGAAGAACAUAUGUGUAAGUAACUGUGCACAUCUUGACGGUACCUAAUCAGAAAGCCACGGCUAACUACGUG